AUUUAAGGGCAGGUCACUCACUGGCAGGCUGACUUUGAGGACACCAUCUCUGGUGGUUGGCAGAGUCUGCAUAGCCUCUGGCAUGCUCUAGUGGGAUGACUGUUCAUUUUUUCACCGGUGUUGAAAUGAGAUGGUGUACCAGUGAAAGGGGAUACACUGGCUGAUGCAAUGUCUUGCCCUUGAGAGGACUGAAGGAAAGGCUGAGUGUAAGGACUAUGGGAUUUCACUAAUGUGGGGAGUACCAUCGAUUCUUUGAAGAGAAAUAAAAAUAGAGAUGGGAAAUUAGUAAAUACUUUACAAAAACAGACAGGCCCCUUGGUAGUAUUAAAUAAAACCCUGCAGCUGAAGGAUAGAGUAAAUAACCAAGUUCAGGGCUUCAUCAUAAAAAUAGCAGAGCUUCAGAGAAGGUUGAAUUAUCAGCCUGGCAAGUCCCCUACACCAAGGUCAGAGCUCCAGUAAUGAAGGAAAAAACAGUGAAAGUUAGGAUGGGAAUAACAUAUGGAUACAAUUCAGAAUUUCAAAUUCCCAGAUUCUCGUGGACCCACUGGCCCUGCAGAAGUGGCCCACUUCCCCUGGUCAGAAGGUGACUGUCCCAGUAGUUUGAUGAUCAUGCAGAGGCCUCAGUUGAGGCAGAUUCUUUAUGAGACAUUCUUGCAUCCUCUCAGGAUAAGCCCCUACCUUCUCUCUUGACAACCAGACCAUUAACCAGGAUCAAAUUCCAGAAGACCAACUGGGCAUGUGAAGGCCUGUGAAGGAAAGAAAGGGAUAAAAUGCCAAAGAGGCCACAUAAUCCAACUAACACGAACCUUCAGGAUUUGGGAGAGCAUCAAUAGGACUUGCUGGUGAGAGUGUUUCCUCAAGGGGAGUGGAUCUUACAGCCAAAGGCCAAAUUCAUUCUCCCACCUGGAACAACUAAAAAACUGGAUAAAUAAAUGAAAAAUGUUUUUUAUGUAUUAGAUACAAGGCACUGAGUGAUGUAAAAUGAACGAGGUGAGCCCUACACUUGCCCCAGCUGACUUCCUAGAGACAAUUUCCAGGCAGCAACACCUCAAAAGGAGCCAAGUGAGGAAACCACUGACAGCUGGGGAAAACAGCACCCCAAAGAGCAGAAGGAACAAUCCCUGAUACUCACACAGGCCUAGGAAUGGCUCAUGCUCCCACCAGCCAGGGUGUAAAACUUCACAAUUCAUGGAGCAUCAGGUGGAACACUCAGAAGGAUACUUGACUCACAAAGCUCAAAAGGGAGCCUUGAAAAUAUCUAAUUGUUUCUAAAACAAAGCUCAAGGAUAUUUAUAGAAAUAUAAGACUAUCCAAUGUCCAACAAGAUGAAUUUCACAAUUUCUGGGAUCUCAGUCAAAUAUUUCCAGGCAUGCAAAGAAGCAGAAAAUGUAAUCCAUAAUGAAUAGAGCAAUCAAUUAAUAGAAACAGACCAAGAAAUGAUAGAAUUAAGAGACUAGCACAUUAAAAAGUUAUUAUAUUAGACAGGCAGUAGAAUGGUGGUUGUCAGGGACUGGAGGGUUGGGGAAUGGGAGUUAUUGUUUAAUGGGUAUAGAGUUUCAGUUUUAUAAGAUGAAAAGAUUUAUGGAGUUGGAUGAUGGUGAUGGUUGCACAACAUUAUAUAUGUAUUUAACACCAUUGAACUGUACACUUAAAAAUGGUUAAGACAGUAAAUUUUAUGUGAUGGGUAUUUCAACACAGUAAAAGUCUGGAAAACAAUUUUAUAUCUAUAUUCCAUAUGUUAAAGAAGGUAGAAGAAAUAUUGAGGAUGUUAAGUAGGAACAUAGAAGAUAUACAAUAUUCCCAAUUGAAAUUCUGGUAAAAACACAAUGUCUGGGAUGAAAAAUAUACUGAAUAGGAUAAACAGCAGAAUAGACAAUGCAGAAGAAAAGAUUAGUAAAUGUAAAUACAUUUAAAACAAUAAAUAGCAAGAAAACCUGCCAAAAUGUUGAAACACAGAAGGAAAAAACACUGAAGAAUAAAUCUAUAAAGCAUCAUAGAGCUAUGGAAUAACUUCAGAGGUCCUACUAUACAUGUAAUUUGAAUUCUUGUGGAGGAGCUCAGAGAAAAAAUAUUUGAAAAAAUAAUGGUUUAAAAUUUUCCAGAUUGUCUCAAACCUAUAC
rnacentral:lncRNA from 1 species